GAUGUGGUCGGGGAAGAAGCUGCGAAUCUGGAUUUGUGAUUGUUAUAGCUCCGACGAGGAUUGGACCACUGGGGGCUAUUUGUAGCCAUCAGAUUCUUCCUUCCGGCCAUCUUUCUACCGCUAGGGGUAGUGUGGGACUCUCUUCUUGCUUCGACGUGAAGCUCUCGGCCAGACAUCAGAGAUCGAUUCAGGGGGAUUCUUGUUGGUGGCAGAGGUUACGUUUGGUCGCGGCAGCAAGCAUAUUUUCGACUUUGGAUUAACCACGGUGCAUCCGAAUUUGGGUGAAUGAAGAUGCUUGAGUUAAAGGGGGA